rnacentral:tRNA from 1 species
GCCUCUAUAGUUUAGUUGGCUAUAACACCCCACUAGUAGCAUUUGCAAAUGGGGAGGUCUGUCGAUCGAAUCGGCAUGGAGGCA